GCACUGGUGGUUCAGUGGUAGAAUGCCCACCUACCAUGCGGGAGACCUGAGUUCCAUUGCCAGCCAAUGCA
rnacentral:tRNA from 1 species